GGAGAUAUGGCGUUCGCUUGCGUGCUGCUUUUUCCAUGGCUGCUUUCAACAAGAUGUUGAGCACAAGAACGGCUGAAUUUAGUGGAUCCUUGGAUAGCUUGCCGUUUAAUCUUGUCAACAGUGAUACCCAAAAGCUGAUUGAUUUCUUGUGUAUACUUCCUUAUGUGGUUUGCUUUCCAUUCCAUUUGCUUGUUGUGAGUUUUUUCUUAUAUCGAG